UAUCCUUACAGACAUCACACAAGCUGUCUGUCCUCUCACGGAUCUAUUUCCACUGCCUCGCAAUUCCUCCCAACACCCCUCUACUCUAUAAAGUUUGCAGCCUACCUCUUCCUUGGCAGUUCUCCUUUCCCAUUUGGUGAGCAAACAGGUUUAGAAAACCCUGAUGGAGCCAAGCUGUUGCCAUCCUACAAAAGAUUCUGGACUGAGGAGCUUUUGAAGAAACAUUCAAACUCUACAUCAUGUUUUCAAUGUAUAAAGGG